rnacentral:rRNA from 1 species
UAGGGAAUCUUCGGCAAUGGACGAAAGUCUGACCGAGCAACGCCGCGUGAGUGAAGAAGGUUUUCGGAUCGUAAAACUCUGUUGUUAGAGAAGAACAAGGACGUUAGUAACUGAACGUCCCCUGACGGUAUCUAACCAGAAAGCCACGGCUAACUACGUGCCAGCAGCCGCGGUAAUACGUAGGUGGCAAGCGUUGUCCGGAUUUAUUGGGCGUAACGCGAGCGCAGGCGGUUUCUUAAGUCUGAUGUGAAAGCCCCCGGCUCAACCGGGGAGGGUCAUUGGAAACUGGGAGACUGGAGUGCAGAAGAGGAGAGUGGAAUUCCAUGUGUAGAGGUGAAAUGCGUAGAUAUAUGGAUGAACACCAGUGGCGAAGGCGGCUCUCUGUUCUGUAACUGACGCUGAGGCUCGAAAGCGUGGGGAGCAAACAGG